CAAGGCUUUGGGGAAGGGAGAAGAAGUAACCGAGCUCACUGAAUUGGACAAUGAGGAGGCGGAGAUAAAGGGCAUCCUAGAAUGUCUUGAGAACAGUGAUUUGGUAUGAACAGUCUCUAUGCAAUGCAAAAACAGUUUAUAUCAACCAGCCUCCUUCCUUUUGCCUCUCCCAUAUAAGCCAACUUCUCCCCUCACCUGUCCCCUGUGAUUCAUCCCACUUCUCUACUUACUUGAUUUGAUUCAGUCUAUUUCCCUCUCAUGUUUCCCAUAUACUCUGAUUCCUUCUCUCCUGACCCUUCCCACCAAUCACAGUAGUUGGAAUAUUAUAAUCCACAGCAUUUGUCAGAAACUAUGUUAAAUUCUCACUUUCCCAAGUCACUGUUUUCUGUCCUCCUUGCAGUUGUCUGUGGAGCACCAGCUCCACAUAUUGAGAAACCUAGAAAGAAAAAUCAAUAUUAUCAACCACCUGAACAGUGACCUGGCCCAGCGGCUGGUUGACAUCACCUCCAUCAAUCUAAUCAAGAAUACGGAGCUGAAGGAGGAAUUUGAGGAGGCUGCCAUUGCCAUCCUAGUGGCGGUUGGGAAGCACUGUCCAGGAGAUGUCGUGGCCACGCUGCAGGAGAGAUUCCAGCCAAAAGUCCUGCCCCACCGCAGUAUCCUUUGUGCAAUGGAGAAGCUCUGUCAACUCAGUGGUACCAUCUUUCUGAACUUCCUGUUGUCUGAGUUUCUUGUUAGAAGUGUUCACCUGUGUGGCCCCACUAAACAGGUCUGAGUUACCUGGGCUUUUCCUAUGUACCCUUCCUAUAGUGACUGCUAUGCUGUGGCUGGUCAAAAAUUUUCCACCUAACCUGGCUUUCAAUGGAAAAUUGGGGUUGUGGACUGCAGAGCUGAGUAGGCUGCACCAUCCAAAGGGACAGUGCACUCUAUAUGCUCCCUCCUCAAGCUCCUUUGGGGGCAGUGCAGCUUCACACUGCCUCCACCAUAGGCAUAUGCCUUAAAGGUACAAUCUGGCCCAAGGCGCAAGGUAAGUGCUGUACCCUUGUGUUUUUACACUUUCAUUUGGUU
rnacentral:lncRNA from 1 species